CAUUACCGGGGAAUGAUUGCAGCGUCGGGACCAGCGCGCCAGCCGCGCUAUUGGGGGAUGGAAACCACCUUAUAGAGUCUCUCCUCGGUCCUCGAUGCGAGCGGAUUGUCACAUGCUCCUGCUUGCACGGCAGAGCGCGUUUCCUCUUCUUCAUUCGAGUUCGAUUUUGCGGUGGAGAACUUUCUUCGUGGUGUGAGUGACCGAGACAUGGCGGUCAGUCGGGGCGAGCACAAAAAAAAAGUAGCGGUCGGAAGAAAGUUACCGAAGCCAUAUCGAGGCCAUACUUCCGGAAUAUUCACAUCACGUUAUCGCGAUACUUGUCCCUCAGAGUGAACUACGACGUUCCCUUUUUCAUUUCUUUUUAUUCUUCAAUUUAUCCUUUAUCAUACGAGUGUAUUGUGCGAUGGAACAUGGCGACUGCUCACGUGUGUUACUCAAGACAGGUGUAACGUAGUGAAGCUACUCGCUAGAGAUUUUGUGAUCUAUUGUCCUGAUUAAUAAUCGAUUAAUUAUAUUAAAAAUUAUUUGAAAAGGAGAUCAAACAAUGAUUAGCAUCCUGCUCAAAUGCUAAUAUCGAUGCUCAUCGUAUGAAAAACUAGAUAACGAUCACCAUUUGCGUUUCUGAUGACUUAUUUUGUGGAUCGAUUGUGAUGUAUCGUCGACAGUACGCGAUACGUUAGCAUUGUUACGUAGCAUUGCCAGUGGUUUUGUUUAGAGUGGCCCUCGAUGAAUUCCAGUGAAAAGGUCGUGCGUGUUGUACGAGAUGUAGACACUAGUAUGGCGCACAUGUUGCUCCUUGUACAUUCGAUAUUGUUGUUGUUGCGGAAUUGGCAAACCAUGAGCCGAUUGUUACCACGCUCAGGUUUGUCGAUAGAAGAAUUUUCUUAAUAAGGUUAUAAUUAUCGAUACGUUGCAAUCAUAUGUAAUGGAAGAUUUUUUUUAUACAAAAGUAAAUUGGCGGAAAAUUUAUCCGGCUUUCAAAUGGAGGAAAGAGUAAUAGAAAAUUGAAAGAAGAUUGAAUAAUCGCAUUUUCCGAUGAAGAGAAUAUAUGAAGUUGCUAGAGAUUACGUAAAUAUCAUCGUAAAUAUCAUCAACGAAUGUUUAUUCAUCAAGAAUUUUCUCGUCUAUCGCAAGUUGGAUGAAGAAAAGCAUCACUUAUUAACAGGUGAUUACACAGAUGUUGCAGAUAUUGUCGAGUUUCGCAAAACUUGGAGACCUUAUUGGGCUGCAGUGUUUACGACUUGAGAACUGGAAAAUAAUUGUCGUUUAAGAGCUGAUAGUUUACGGAUACCUGAAAGUUUCUGCCCGUCUGCGAAGGACAUUCUUGAAUUUUCAGAAAUAUCUUUAAGAAACCAUUUCACAAGGACCAGACAAAAGAGACUCAGCGAAAGGUGCAGCACGAGGACAGAAAAAAGUAAAGAACGAGAACGAACCUUGAACCAAUCGUAAAUGGCGCGGAGUGAAAGCGAUCGGUCACCACGUUUUUCUCAGAAGAGCGCGAGCCACAAAUUAUCGGCUUGUAAAUCGAACCGAAGGAUCUCGUUCCUUUUGCGGCAAAUAAGCGGCCGCCCGGUAAUCCAGUAGCAAAUCGAGCUCACGAAACGUCGAAAGUGAGGAACGUAAUCUCCAAUUAUAUCAAAUCGUUCGACUAGACAAGUACCUGCGCUAAAGACUGUUCAGUAGCCUACAUUGUGAUCGAAAUUGUAUUUCUUUUUUUACUUUUUCUAACAUAAUAUGUUAUCAAUUCU